AGUUACAGUAAUCCACUUAGCUUGCCUUCACAUGAAAGAAUGAAUGAGAAUGUUGGAUUCGGUCACGUUCCAAAGCGUAUUUUUUUUUAUAAAUAAAAGUAUUACUCAGAACAACAUUAUUGGGAGGGACACUUUAACCCGUUUCUAAUAUUGAGCGGGACAUGUCUCCCCCGGCUCCUACGCCCUUGCCUGUUCCCAAGAUACAUUUAGUGUAGAAGUGUUCCUGGUUUGACGGUGGAUGGAUCAGUCUUCAGCAGGGUCACAUCAGAGAUGUUCUUUUCCUUGGCUCUUUUGCAUUUACUGACCCCAGAUGCCUCAUCCAGCUCCCCUGUGGGACUCUUUCUUUUACCCUGCUGCUUCUGUGGGAUUAACCUGGGGUCAUUGGAAGCCCAGAUCCUGGAAACCGCUUUGGAUGUCUUGGGCUGAUUCACCUUCUCUGCAAGAAAACGGUCCUUCAGCUGCAGCCAGGGAAGAUAGGACACCUGACCACCUUUUGCACUGUCCUCUACAUGAAGAACAGCACUCUGGGACAGUUGAGUCAGGUUUGGACUCCUCACAGCCUUCUGAACUGAGCUCUGACCAUUACUGAACUCAUUGCUGCCAGACGUAUUCACUGACAUCCCAGCUAGCCUCUUUCUCUCUAAAUGCUGUUUAUAGGUCUUGGUUUGUCUCACCAUCUGUUCGGCUGGAAAACGUAUCUUCAGCAGCCGCCAUGGGAGAUAGGAUGUGACCUGACCAGCAUUUGCACUGUCCUCUCCAUGCUGAACAGCAUUCUGGGACAGUUGAGUCGGGUUUGGACUCCUCACAGCCUUCUGAACAGAGCUCUGACCAUUACUGAACUCAUUGCUGCCAGACAUCUUUUCUGACAUCCCAGCCAGGUUCUUUCUCUCUAAAUGCUGUUUGUAGGUCUUGGUUUGUCUCACCAUCUGUUCGGCUGGAAAACAUAUCUUCAACAGCCGCCAAGGGAGAUAGGAUGUGACCUGAAAUGUGUGGAGAGUCCGUUGAUUUAAGGACUCAAUGCUUAAUGGCAAAGCUGACAUUUAUGUUUAGGUCUUAUGUUACCAAAUAUACCAUGUUUAAACCAUGUUUUGCAGUGUUUGCUUACAUUUACA
ensembl:lncRNA